rnacentral:rRNA from 1 species
GAUGAACGCUGGCGGCGUGCUUAACACAUGCAAGUCGAACGAAACACCUUAUUUGAUUUUCUUCGGAACUGUGGAUUUGGUGAUUGAGUGGCGGACGGGUGAGUAACGCGUGGGUAACCUGCCCUGUACAGGGGGAUAACAGUCAGAAAUGACUGCUAAUACCGCAUAAGACCACAGCACAGCAUGGGGCAGGGGUAAAAACUCCGGUGGUACAGGAUGGACCCGCGUCUGUUUAGCUGGUCGGUGACGUAAAGGCGCACCAAGGCGAGGAGCAGUAGCCGGCUUGGGGGAGUGACCCACCACAAUUGAACUGCGACACAGCCCAAACUCCUACGCAGGGCAGCAGUAGAGUAUAUUGCGCGAUGGGGGAAACCCUGAUGCAGCGGCGCGGCGUAAGUGAAGAAGUAGUUCGUUAUGUGAAGCUCUAUCAGCAGAGAAGAGAAUGACGGUACCUGACAAAGAAGCCCCGGCUAACUACGUG